CACCUGCCGGCGACCGGCGCACGGGUGAGUAACACGUAUGGAACCUGCCCGCCACAGGGGGAUAACCCGGGGAAACCCGGCCUAAUACCCCGUGACGCCACCGGAGGGCAUCCUCCGGUGGCCAAAGGAGCGAUCCGGUGGCGGAUGGGCAUGCGGCGCAUUAGCUAGACGGCGGGGUGACGGCCCACCGUGGCGACGAUGCGUAGGGGUUCUGAGAGGAAGGCCCCCCACACUGGGACUGAGACACGGCCCAGACUCCUACGGAAGGCAGCAG
rnacentral:rRNA from 1 species